rnacentral:rRNA from 1 species
AGUGAACGCUGGCGGUAGGCCUAACACAUGCAAGUCGAACGGCAGCACAGUAAGAGCUUGCCUUUACGGGUAGCGAGUGGCGGACGGGUGAGGAAUACAUCGGCAUCUACUUUUUCGUGGGGGACAACGUAGAGAAACUUACGCUAAUACAGCAUAUGACCUACGGGUGAAAGCAGGGGAUCUUCGGACCUUUCCUGAUUGAAUGAGACGAUGUCGGAUUAGCUAGUUGGCGGGGUAAAGGCCCACCAAGGCGACGAUCCGUAGCGGGUCUGAGGGGAUAUUCAGCAACCCUGGAACUGAGCAACGUCCCGACCUCCAAGGGGAGGCAGCAUGGGGGAAUUUCGGUCAAUGGGCGCAAGCCUGCUCCGGCCAGACCGCGUGGUUGAAGAAGGCUUUCGGGUGGUAAAGCCCUUUUGUAGGGAAGAAAAUACAGCAGGUUAAUUGUCCGCUGUUCGAACGUGACCAAAAAAAUAAGCACCGGCUAAUUUCGU